UAAUUUCAAGUUAGGUUUCUCCUUCUUUUCUUUCGCUUCUAAUCUUCUUUGAUUUUUUUUUCUAUCAUUUUCAAUAGCUAGCAGGAGUAGAAAGGAUAGAGAGAAGGUUAGAGUAGAUGAGGCCUCUCGGGAUAGUCGAUCGUGUGACCCAAUUGACGAUUCUCUUUUGAAUCCGGACAUAGAAGUUUCUUCCUUAUCUGGAUUCAAUG
rnacentral:lncRNA from 1 species